rnacentral:rRNA from 1 species
GACGAACGCUGGCGGCAGGCCUAACACAUGCAAGUCGAGCGAGCGGCGGACGGGUGAGUAAUGUAUGGGGACUGCCCCAUAGAGGGGGAUACCUACUGGAAACGGUAGCUAAUACCGCCUACUAUCGGAUAUUCCAUAUGGGAUUAGCUAGUGGGUGAGGUAAUGGCUCACCAAGGCGACGAUCCCUAGCUGGUGUGAGAGGAUGAUCAGCCACACUGGGACUGAGACACGGCCCAGACUCCUACGGAGGCAGCAGUGGGGAAUAUUGCACAAUGGGCGCAAGCCUGAUACAGCCAUGCCGCGUGUAUGAAGAAGGCCCUAGGGUUGUAAAGUACUUUCAGUCGGGAGGCGUUACCGACAGAAGAAGCACCGGCUAACUCCGUGCCAGCCGCCGCGGUAAUUC